CAAGACAACUUUACGGAGUUGACGAUUGACGGAGCGAAGCGACGUCAAAGCGUUCAUUAAAGUCGAGUUGGCUUAGGGAUACGUUCGUUGGGUAGGGGAGCGUUCUGUAAGCCUGUGAAGGUGUGUCGUGAGGCAUGCUGGAGGUAUCAGAAGUGCGAAUGCUGACAUAAGUAACGAUAAAGCGGGUGAAAAGCCCGCUCGCCGGAAGACCAAGGGUUCCUGUCCAACGUUAAUCGGGGCAGGGUGAGUCGACCCCUAAGGCGAGGCCGAAAGGCGUAGUCGAUGGGAAACGGGUUAAUAUUCCCGUACUUGGUGUUACUGCGAAGGGGGGACGGAGAAGGCUAUGUUGGCCGGGCGACGGUUGUCCCGGUUUAAGCGUGUAGGUGUGUGUUCCAGGUAAAUCCGGUUCACUUUAACACUGAGGCGUGACGACGAGGCACUACGGUGCUGAAGCAACAAAUGCCCUGCUUCCAGGAAAAGCCUCUAAGCAUCAGGUAACACGAAAUCGUACCCCAAACCGA
rnacentral:rRNA from 1 species